GCUUGUCUCAAAGAUUAAGCCAUGCAUGUCUUAGUGUAAAUAACUCUUAUGAAACUGCGAAUGGCUCAUUAAAUCAGUUAUCGUUUAUUUGAUGGUCCCUUACUACAUGGAUAACCGUAGUAAUUCUAGAGCUAAUACAUGCACAAAGGCCCGACUCACGAAGGGCUGUAUUUAUUAGAUACAAACCAACAUCGUGGUGAUUCAUAAUAACUUUGCGAAUCGUAUGCCUCACGGCGACGAUGAAUCAUUCAAAUUUCUGCCCUAUCAACUUUCGAUGGUACGGUAUUGGCCUACCAUGGUUACCACGGGUAACGGGGAAUUAGGGUUCGGUUCCGGAGAGGGGGCCUGAGAAAUGGCCACCACAUCCAAGGAAGGCAGCAGG
rnacentral:rRNA from 1 species